UUGCCGUAGGGCUGUUGCAAUCCAAUGCUUUAUAUUAGGCAGCAACUGAGUACGCAGCUUUAGAUUUGCCAUGGUGAAACAUUUCUUCAUAAAAGCGAAAAGAAAGAAGUGGCUAAAGAUUCAUCUUUAGAAGAGAAGGUUGUGCAAAUUCAGAGUCACAGUUGUUGCAUACUGUCUCACUGUCUGGCCAACAGUAAAUAAGGUAUCCCAACAAGAUGAUGUCAAGAUUUGUUCUGUUGUUGCUCUCCAUACUUUUGCUUGGAUCACCAGCUCUUCAAGAUGAAGUCACCCCCAAAAAUCAGCCAAACUCUCACAGAAAGAUCUGUGCUCAACUCCAUGUCCCUGACUAUCACCACAGCAAGUCUCUCCAUGAGACAGAAGCAAAGACUCCUAUUGAUAAUGAUUGGGUCAGCCUUGUCACUACUUUUACUGUAGAGAAAGGAUGCUUGCUUACUUUGUGGAAGAGCUCCAAAAUGGUUGAAAGCCCACAGAAUUUUCUAGAAGGUACCUACCAAAAUGAUCAAGAUGUGUUUGAAGGAUCCUUUGUUGCCUUUAACUGCAGUUGUGAUACAGAUAAAGAUCUUCAUAAGUUGGAAUUCACAAACUUUGCAAGUUUUCAAAGGAAACACCUAGUUAGACCAGGUACAAGAGGGAAUGAUAGGUUCUGGACCAAUGAAAUGAGAAACAGAGGACUGUGCUGUCGCAAUUUCAACACUUUUAUUCAUGCUACAUCUACUCAAGCUAUACAGAUUUGCCGUGGUCGUCGUGUAAGAGGAGGUGCUAAUAACCUAUAUAAAAGUAAUAGCAGGUAUCGAAUUACUGAGGUCAGAUUAAGGUCAAACAAUCCUAUAAAAUAUCAUGGGAGAGACACCAGAAAGUUUGUGGUUGUUGCCUGUGAUAACAACAGGAUGCCAGUUCAUCUGGAGAGAACAGAGAAUAGAUAAAAGCACAACUGCAGUCAUUCUGCGUAAAUCUCAGAAUCUUCUUAUAGCUUUUCCUUGAGCUCUAGGAGAAUUACUACGCAGAGUCAGACAUCUUUAAAGAAGGGACUGCUUUAUCUUUGCUAUCAUGCAGCUAGCUUUAUUAAGUAGAGCUACAGUUCUAAUACUGUGUAAUAAUUGGUAUCAGAUCUUAACAGAUCAAGGCAAGCAUGCUAUACUAAAUAGCAGCUAUAAAUAGGUUGACAUCAAUUUCAUAAAUUAUAGUUCUUCUUGGAAGUAAAGAACACACACACCAACUUUAGUAUUUUCAUGGUAAAGGGUUUUGGCCUUACUUUCCCCUACAUUUAUAUAAUUAACGCUCAGGUUGUUGCAUUUUGACUUACCUAAAAGUCAUUAUUUGUACCUUUUUCUCCCAAGGAGCAGCAUGUUUUUUCAAGCUACAGUCAAUCUAACUGCACAAAAAAAGGUUGCGUGUUGGCUGUUUUAAAAAUUUACUUCAGAAACAUCAGUUGUGAUAGAAUGAUACUUUAAUAGCGUUAUUCCCAGUAUGCAAUGGAAAUAGUCAUUGUAUUGUUGUUGCUAUGCCCACAUCAUGGAAGUUACCUACUGUGAUAUGCAUCAUGGCACAGUAGCCUAUGUGUUACAAUUAAUUGCCAUAUUAUUGCAAUUAAUAUAGAAUAUAAAUCUUUACAGACCUCAGGUUAUAUUAAAGUGAUAGUAGACACCACAGCUUAACUACUCAUAUUUGUCAGAACACUUCAGUGCAAUAGCUACUGAAACAAUGUAGUUGACAUUAAAUAAAACACUGUCACAGUAAUGUGCUUAGUAUGACAACAUGCAUGCUAUGUAAAUCAUUAUACACACUGUGUAGAGUCUACAUGUUUUCUAUCUGUUUGUGUACAGCUUUGACAGGUUUUUCAUUUCCUUCCACAUUUGAAAUACAUGCAAACAGCUGAAAUGGGUAGGCUAAAUUGGGCCUAGAUAUGCAUAUGAGUGGGGAGAAUGUGACUAUCUGUGCUAUGCAGUGGAAUGCUAUCCCAUCCUGAUUUGUUCCUGUCUUUUGCCUUUUGCUUGCCAGGAUAAGUGCUAGCCCUGUGUGACCUAAACUUAAAAAACAGGCAUAGAAACUGGAUGCAUGCCUGUUCAUGACUGAUGAAUGCAGUCUUCCAUACUACAGAAAUAUAUGUAAUAAACCUAGUUUCUGUCAUUGCAUUUUGCAGCAUAUUAACUGGUGUCAAGGAAAUAGUUAUCAAAUGUGUUGCUAGUAUUUAGAUUUCAAGGUGCCUUAGCAGUUUAACUAAACUCCACAAAGACCCUAAUUUAAAAAUAGGCAUUUUGCUGUUAUUGACAGUUGAUAUAUAGUUAUCAGUCCUGUUAUUUUCAUAUUGAUUUUUAUGUGUAAAUGGUGAGCUCUGGGUCAAUUUCUUUGUAAGAUUAUAAUCAAGAGGGAAGCCAUGUAUGACAGAUAUAAAUGUAGGUUCUAACUUUGAAUAGCCAGCAGGCAGGGUAUUCACACCAACUGCAGAUCCUCCAUUUGUGAAGGACAAAUAUAUUUUAAUAAAUCUCCAUUUGACUAUUCUAACAGACCCAAACAUCUUUAGGAAGGAGAGUAACUCUCCUAGAAAACAAAAUGCAUCGUCUGCCCUACAUGCCACACCAUUUAUAGGUGAGAUUCCCCAACAAAUCCCUCAGGGCUUCACCAGUUUCAACAUCAACUUUAUGUGGCAAGGAACCUUCUGAGGACCAUCACACCCUGCACAGCUGGUGCAGUUCUGGGGCUUCCAACUCAGCCUGUCCAUGAAUAUCUGCCUCCUUUCAAGUGGUCUUUUGUGGGAGAAGGAGAGAGCAGAAAGCUUCUCUUCAAAGGAAUAAUACAAAAAAUCUUGACUUUCUUUUGUGGAUGUUUACAUUCCAGAUCGGUCCACUUUGUCUCAAAAUUCAUUCUGUCCUAGUGGUUUGGUGUAUGAACCCAUACAUUGUAGAAAAUCAAAAAUUAAGACAACAACUAAAGCUAUAAGCCCAUAUCCUACAUUCCUGCUAAUUCCACUUUAUAGAAAAUGUAAUUAUAGUCACUAAUAUCCCAGGAAAAGGGUCUACAUACUCCAAAAAAUAACUUUAACCAGACCAUAAAUUCAACAGUGCCCUUAUGAAAAUAAAAAAAAUCAUGUCAUAAAGAGAAUGUAUACAGAAGAAACUACAGAAGUUCUGUUCUUAGACCUUUCAGUAGCCUUCACUCAGGUUACCCACCUCCAUAGACUUGCCCUACCCUAAGUUAAAAAUCCUUAAAACAGUUCACCAGCUUUCCCCACAGAGCACAUACAAUAUUCAUACAUAACUUUGCUGCAUUGCUCGUUAUCCCUGAGUUUCAGGGAGUUUCCCAAGGAUCAUGGCUUGAUGAAAUGCUUUUCUUAUUAUAUACCAUCCAUGUGUGGCAGAACUACAGUUAAACAGCUACCAUGAAAUAUGCAAAUGAUAUCAUGUGCUAGCCUGUGUGUAACAGUUUAAUUGAAGAGGAAGGCACAGAUUUCUAAAGUCAGCUUCUCUUCAGCACAAUAAAAUGACUAGGCCUUCUCCAUAUAGGAAUUUCUUUGGUUUAAGUGUAUUCCAUUCCUCAAAGCAACAUGUAUUACAGGGCAUUAUGAUUAUGUUCUACAAAUCUUUGAUCAGAUUAUGUGCUGUUGUAAUAUACAUCAUCACAAGUAGAAAUUGUUAAGGGUUCUGAACAAAGUAACAGCAUGUCUCCUCCCUUCCUACACUGAGUAACUAGUCAUACACUGACCUGUACCCUUCUGUAAAACACAGCAGUUUUCACCAUCUUUCUCUAAGAUAGCCUAGUCAAAGCCUGAUGCAAGCCAUGUCUUCAACACACAAAAAUACUGUUGUGAACUGCACCAAAGCAAGUGCGUAAACCUCAUUUAUGGGCAAACUCCCUUCCCCCUUCACAUCCCAGUACAAAGAGAGCAGCCGCUGUACUUACUUAAAUAAAUAAUCAACUCCAUGGUCUUUGUAUAUGGAGAAGGAAGCAUUCCACUUUGCAGUGACCACCAUUUACUAUCUGCAGCUUUGGUGAAACAUCCAAAAUUGGCAUUUGGCCAUGUUCCUUUAAAGUCAUGUCUUCCUACCACAAGGUGGCAAAGCUUCCUUGAGAAGAUGGUCACAUUGCAUCUUUACCAUGGCCUCACUGCACUCAAAUGGUACACUCUUGAGAAACAUCACCCCAGUCUCUACAUAUUUUUUGCAGCAAUGCAGGAAGGCUCCCAGAAGAAUUAUUAACCUUUUUGUCACUCCUCCAAGGAGUUAAGAACCAGUAAGUUUCAUAUCAUGGAAGUCCCUGGUACUGACAAAAACUAUGAGGACAAAACCUUUAGAUCCAUGAAGGCGAAAGGCCGAGGUACCAGAUCGUUAUUUAAAUAAAGAAGAAAUACUGGUAAAGUGGUGAAGUGCUUGUGAUUGUGUGUUUUUGUACAAAACCUUUAGUGUCCACAGUCAACAGAUAUGGAAAUUUGUGUCCACCACACUGCCAAAGUACAAGCAGACAUACUCAGAGGGAAUAUCACAUCUUUGUUCACUGUACUUACUGCUCACAUAUUUGUAUACUGAUACACCUUCCUUACCCCCAAGGCCACUUUCUCUAAAUCUUUCUCCUCUAGUGCCACUGAAUCUAAUCCCCACUUGUCUCCACCCCUAUUUUUCUGGUCAUUCCUGGUGAUUAGUUGUCCUCAUCCUUGCUUCUUCUCCACUAUUCCUACCUAUGGCCUGCCAUAUGCCUUCUGCAAUUCCACUAGCUUCUGCCAACACCUAUUUUUUCUGUCUGACUAUGACCAUGAACUUACACAUCUUUCUAACACUAUGUUAGAUAAGUUGUCUCAGCCAGACCCAGUUUGUAUAGCUUUUGAUAAGGUUUACAUUUAGUUAAGAAGCAUAUAAGUAAAUCACCAAUUCUUCUGAUAACAAUAGGGUGACAUCAGUAAUUGCCUUGUGGUUUAGUUUAUGGGUGAGAAGGGUCUUUGAACCAGCCCAUUUAAGUGGCAACAGUUGAAUGGGCAGACCACUGAUCCAUAUGGACUUUUUUUAGACUCAGAACAAAGCACUGUUGGGCAAGUGAGUUGUUUGGAGUCAGGUAAGUACAGUCAGAGGAAAUCAAACCUUUGAGCACAGGAAAUAGCUCAUAGAGACAUCUCAUAGCAUUAAUCCUCUGCAUUAACUACUUCCUUGCAUUACUGCCUAUGGUUACUGCACUCAAGAUGAAGCUUUGUUCUUCAGGUGUCCACUGAAAAAGUGCCUUAGGUUCACUGGGGUCUGCCUGCUCACUAAAAUAAGUUAAAGAGAUAAAUAAAUGUAUCUGUAACAAAUAUACACUCUAAAUCAUAAUGAUAGUGUAUGAAAAAUCAAAUUGUGAUAUUUGCUGUGUAAUCCUUCAUAUUUGUAUGUAACUUCUAAAUACUGUGAUACACUGCAGUAUAAAUACAGUCAUGACAUAAUAUUGUAUGAUAUGACUUGUUUUCCUUUCGUACCAGUCUUUCUGCUGUGAUUUUUACCUGAAGUUCAUAGAAAAGCAAACUCAGCUGUGUACAAAGUAGAAAUCAGUCAUGACUAUUAUUCUAAAAAGAACUGUUACUACCAAGUAUUUUUAAAAGUCACUAUUACUACACAAGCAAAAGUUAAUCUUAUUUUUGGGCAGCGUGAUGGAUCAGUCUAUUGUACUUGUGUCUCUGAGAGUAUGAGGUUCAGCCUACAUCCAGAUUUUCUGUGCUGUGGGGUUGAGAGGUAUGGUUCAGACGGUUACUUUGUGGGUGUCCCCUGUAAAGGAGCCUGGCUCUAAUGAUUUAUCUGGUUUACAAAAAUAUAUUUAUUGCUAAAGCAAUAAAUUAUAAAAAGGCAUGUGGUAUAAUUCUGAAUCCAUUGUUAAAUCAAAACACAGGCUAUAGUUAACUAAUUUCAACAACUUUGAUAGGUGAUGUCAUUGCACAAUAACAUUUACCUAUGGAAGACUGGUGUAAUUGUAAUAUUAACAACUGUUGAUGUAUACAAACUGAUGUUAAGGACUAAAACCAUCAUUGUACUACGGGGCUCAGUAGCCUGUCAGCACAUUCAGAUCUACAUACCUGUUAAUGACAUUUUUACAGUAUCUUUAAAAUAUAUACUGGCUAGAUGAAUUUAGAUUUACCUAUGCCAGCCAUUGUUACUUUAUUAUGUCUGCUAAGUUUCUUGCAAGUAUUAAUGCAUUCCAUUAAAGUUUCUGUUUGCAUACAAAUUUUGUCAUGCCUGUUUUAUGGAAAAUGUGACUGCUUUGUAAUUUCUCUUGAUUUUAGCAGUUGUAUUGUUCUUUUCCAAACACCAGUCUGCUUCUUUGGUACAGUAUGGAAUCAUGAGAUGGUGGAUAAUCUACACUUGUUCCUUUGUAUACUAUGCAACAGAAUGUGAUGUCUGAGAUGCAAUUUGCAUGACCACAUUGUGUAAAUAAAAACAUGGCAGACCAGA